CCGGAAACAUCAGCACAAGAUAAAAUUUCAGAAAAGCUCUCCAGAAACAGUCUGAGGAGUUUUAUUUUCGGUUUUGGUUUGGUUUGUUUGGGGUUUUUUUUUUCAGGACUAUGAGGCCUGAAACCCUGUGAAGAAGCCCCAAAGUGUCUGUGAUUUCCACUCUGUCCCACCAAGUGUAAGAGCAUUUACCUCAUUUUCAGGGACACACGGACUUGGACCAGGGCGAGUCGCUGCCAGGGCUGACGUUUGCAGAGGCAUCAGAGCCAGAAGGAACUGGACUGCAGCCACCUCAGAGAGGAGUGGAAAGAAGGGGAAAUCCCUCUGUAACGCGAAUAAAGAACCGAAAAUUCCACAACAAUUCUUGAAGAUUUCUUCCCUGCUGCAGCGUCUGCUCUGAGGUGACCAAAAUCCCCCAUCAACCUUCAGGGAAUUUUCUGAGAAAACCGUAAGUAACCUCAAAAUGAGAGUGUUUGGAGGGAAAAAUUAAGAACAAAACAGCGGGGGCUUGGUGAAAGCUGGCAUUGUCCAUUUAAGGUUUUUUACAGGUCCCAGACACUUUGCAGUUUGUGUCCCGUUGUACUAAGUAGCAAGAAAUAAGUGUAGAGACAGCAGACAAAAUACCCUGUGUGGGUACAUGCCAUCCUGGGCAGUUCUCUGCAUCACAGGCAUCAGAAUUCCUGUCAGGCAGAAUGCUCAUUGCAGGAACAGGCAGUGACCAUUUGCAGCCAUGCCCACCUGACACAUCCACACUUUCCUGGAAGGGCUACACAGACAGUUCUUAAACCAUGAAAGAGCCGGUGAAAGUAUUACAUUUAACACCGGGAUUCAUCUGAGGAGGGAGGUGCCUGCAGCUUUUUGUUUCUUUUCAAGCAGCUGGAGUGGCAGGAAGGAUGUUACUGUGGCAGGUCAGCUGAUGGGAUCAAAAAUAGGCCAAGUACUUACCUUGAUUUUUAAAUUGAAUAGCUGUUCCUAAAUAUUUCCAUAGGAUGAGACUCGCUGUAGGAGAGUGUCAGGGAAAUAGUGCCUUUCAAAGAAAAUUCGUUUGAACUUAGUGUUGCAAUUCAGAUCUCCCUCCUGUUCAGCCAAUAAAACGUCCAGCUGUGUUUCUGGCUGUCA
rnacentral:lncRNA from 1 species